rnacentral:rRNA from 1 species
CCCUUAGAUGUCCGGGGCCGCACGCGCGCUACACUGAAGGAAUCAGCGUGGCUUUCUCCCUGACCCGAAAGGGUUGGGAAACCCGUUGAAUCUCCUUCGUGAUAGGGAUUGGGGCUUGAAAUUGUUCCCCAUGAACGAGGAAUUCCCAGUAAGCGCGAGUCAUAGCUCGCGUUGAUUACGUCCCUGCCCUUUGUACACACCGCCCGUCGCUACUACCGAUUGAACGGUUUAGUGAGGGCCUCGGAUUGGUCUCGGCCCGCUCUUUACCGGGCGGCGCCGUUGGUCGAGAAGACGCUCGAACUUGAUCGUUUAGAGGAAGUAAAAGUCGUAACA